rnacentral:piRNA from 1 species
UACAAUACGUAUGUGCUGAGCCUGGUCAG